rnacentral:rRNA from 1 species
UACGAAGGGGGGCUAGCGUUGCUCGGAAUUACUGGGCGUAAAGGGCGCGUAGGCGGACAGUUUAGUCAGAGGUGAAAGCCCAGGGCUCAACCUUGGAAUAGCCUUUUGAUACUGGCUGUCUUGAGUUCGGGGAGAGGUGAGUGGAAUGCCGAGUGUAGAGGUGAAAUUCGUAGAUAUUCGGCGGAACACCAGUGGCGAAGGCGACUCAC